UGGUCCUUCAAAUGCAAUAAAUGGUUUCACAUUCAUAAGCUUGCUCCCCUCACUCCAUAUUAUGGUUUUGGAUUUUAUCCAUGUUGAUACAUAUAGAUGUGAUUCAUGUAUACACAUAUGGAUGUGAUGGUUGAUGCAUAGUAUCCAGUUAUACAAAUAAAGCACAGUCUAUUUUUCCAUUCCUCCCCCCCCGCCCAGCACAGGAAGUUGGUUUCCAUGGUUUUGUUUUACAAAGUCGCGACAACAUAACUGCUCCGUGUAGGUACCAUUGUGACAACUAGAUCUGGAAUUCCUAGGUAGAAUUCAAAGGGAAAGCAUACUUUAAGUUGCAUGAGGAAUUGCCAAACAGACUCCAAAAUGGUGGAGCCAAUAAUGUGCCAGAGUAUCUGCUUCCCUACGUCCUCAGCAAAACUUGAUGUGUUUCGAUGUUAGAUAUUUUGUUGUUACAUGAACUUCUCAAGGAAAAUUUCUACAAGCGGAAGUUGAGAAAUUUGCAGUAUUUUCCCUCGAAUCAAAUGUCAAAGCAUAUCUGGAGAGACCCAAAACAACAAGGUGACAGUUGGGCUUAGGAUCUCUUGGACUUUUCUCUAGGUUUCUUGAAGGCCAAUCUGCCUUGAACCACGCAUCGGAAUGAAACUAAAUUGAUUUCCUUAUAUCAAGUUGAGCAGUAGCUUGGUAAGCACGAUAGUACAACCUCAGUAGAUUGUAUAAUGACUGCAUUCUAAUCUCAGAAGCAAAUGCAAUUGCAGGGGAAAAAAUCAUAUGGAGAUAAAGAAAAGACCUUAAGACUCCACGAUUUUGUAAAGGAGGAAAAUGUUGGAGAUUUUGACCUACACCCGUUGAAACAAAAUAUCACCUGGACCCGUUUUGAACCUCAUCAUACAUAUGACUCCUAAACUUUUUAUGUAAUCAGGUUAGCACGAAUGCAAAGCGUUUAACAUGUUCCGAUGCAAAACCAGAAGACGAAUUCCAAUUAUUCUUAACAUCCGCCCACUAACAUACCGUAAAUGAUUUACUUGGGAAUCUAUUGCAAUAAAGUUCACCUUCAGAAAGUGGCA